rnacentral:rRNA from 1 species
UACGGAGGGGGCUAGCGUUGUUCGGAAUUACUGGGCGUAAAGCGCACGUAGGCGGCUUUGUAAGUUAGAGGUGAAAGCCCGGGGCUCAACUCCGGAAUUGCCUUUAAGACUGCAUCGCUCGAAUUGUGGAGAGGUAAGUGGAAUUCCGAGUGUAGAGGUGAAAUUCGUAGAUAUUCGGAAGAACACCAGUGGCGAAGGCGACUUACUGGACACAUAUUGACGCUGAGGCGCGACAGCGUGGGGAGCAAACAGG